GGAAACCUAGAAACUAUCAUUGGAUCGAAAAAUUGACGUCUGAGAUUCAUCCAUGUUACCAUAAGUAAAUAUGUUACUCCCAGUAAAAUUUUUACUCAUGAAUAAAUCCACGAGUAAAAUUUUUAAUCAUGAUGACGUAGACGAAUCUCAGACGUCCAUUUUUUCGAUCCAAUGGUAGUUUUCAGGUUUCC
rnacentral:pre_miRNA from 1 species